UACAGAGGUCUCAAGCGUUGUUCGGAUUCAUUGGGCGUAAAGGGUGCGUAGGCGGCGCGGUAAGUCGGGUGUGAAAUCUCGGGGCUUAACUCCGAAACUGCAUUCGAUACUGCCGUGCUUGAGGACUGGAGAGGAGACUGGAAUUUACGGUGUAGCGGUGAAAUGCGCAGAUAUCAGGAGGAACACCGGUGGCGAAGGCGGGUCUCUGGGCCGUAACUGACGCUGAGGAGCGAAAGCGUGGGGAGCGAACAGG
rnacentral:rRNA from 1 species